ensembl:misc_RNA 7SK 7SK RNA
UGAUGUAAGGGCAAUCUGGCUCUGACAGCUGUCACCUCAUUGAUUGAUUGCCAAGGUUGAUUCAACUGAUCUGGCUGGCUAGGAAGGUGACCCCUUCUUCCCUCAAUUUUCCAUAUGUGUCCCUCCAGAAGCUGUAAGUUCAGUAGGAGAGAAUUACCUUUCCCAACAUAAAUGGACAUGUCUUUUGAAAAAGGCACAAGAGUAGAUCCUCUACCGCAAGAACCUCCAAACAAGCUCUCAAGAGUUGGAAAAAAAUUGCAUUCCUCAAGUGAAUUAAAAAAAUAAAUAAAUAAACAUCUUUGGUCCGGGAGGUGGUGCAGUGGAUAAACUGUUGGUCUCU